rnacentral:rRNA from 1 species
UACAGAGGUCCCCAAGCGUUGUUCGGAUUCACUGGGCGUAAAGGGUGCGUAGGCGGUCGGGUAAGUCCGGUGUGAAAUCUCGCGGCUCAACCGCGAAACUGCACUGGAUACUAUCUGGCUUGAGGGUUGGAGGGGGACUGGAAUUCUCGGUGUAGCAGUGAAAUGCGUAGAUAUCGAGAGGGACACUGGUGGCGAAGGCGAGUCCCUGGACAACUCCUGACGCUGAGGCACGAAAGCUAGGGGAGCAAACAGGAUUAGAUA